CACCGCGGUUAAACGAGAGGCCCCAGUUGAUAUUAAUACGGCGUAAAGGGUGGUUAAGGAAAAUAAAUUAAUAAAGCCAAAUGGCCCUUUGGCUGUUAUACGCUCCUAGGUGUCCGAGGCCCAAUCACACGAAAGUAGCUUUAAAACCCGCCUGACCCCACGAAAGCUGAGAAA
rnacentral:rRNA from 1 species